GAUGAACGCUGGCGGCGUGCCUAAUACAUGCAAGUCGAGCGAACAGACGAGGAGCUUGCUCCUCUGACGUUAGCGGCGGACGGGUGAGUAACACGUGGAUAACCUACCUAUAAGACUGGGAUAACUUCGGGAAACCGGAGCUAAUACCGGAGAAUAUAUUGAACCGCAUGGUUCAAUAGUGAAAGACGGUUUUGCUGGCACUUAUAGAUGGAUCCGCGCCGCAUUAGCUAGUUGGUAAGGUAACGGCUUACCAAGGCAACGAUGCGUAGCCGACCUGAGAGGGUGAUCGGCCACACUGGAACUGAGACACGGUCCAGACUCCUACGGGAGGCAGCAGUAGGGAAUCUUCCGCAAUGGGCGAAAGCUUGACGGAGCAACGCCGCGUGAGUGAUGAAGGUCUUCGGAUCGUAAAACUCUGUUAUUAGGGAAGAACAAAUGUGUAAGUAACUAUGCACGUCUUGACGGUACCUAAUCAGAAAGCCACGGCUAACUACGUG
rnacentral:rRNA from 1 species